AAGUAGGGGAUCGUAAGACCUUGCGCUUUUGGAGUGGCCGAUGCCUGAUUAGCUAGUUGGUGGGGUAAGGGCCUACCAAGGCAACGAUCAGUAGUUGGUCUGAGAGGACGACCAGCCACACUGGGACUGAGACACGGCCCAGACUCCUACGGGAGGCAGCAGUGGGGAAUUUUGGACAAUGGGCGGAAGCCUGAUCCAGCAAUGCCGCGUGAGUGAAGAAGGCCUUCGGGUUGUAAAGCUCUUUCAGUCGAGAAGAAAAGGUUGUGACUAAUAAUCACAACUUAUGACGGUACCGACAGAAGAAGCACCGGCUAACUACGUGCCAGCAGCCGCGGUAAUACGUAGGGUGCGAGCGUUAAUCGGAAUUACUGGGCGUAAAGGGUGCGCAGGCGGCUUUGUAAGUCAGAUGUGAAAUCCCCGGGCUUAACCUGGGAAUUGCGUUUGAAACUACAAAGCUUAGA
rnacentral:rRNA from 1 species